rnacentral:lncRNA from 1 species
GUAUGAUCCAGGCUCAGCUCUGGCUUAAUGCGUGAUAUCUUAGGGGAAGAGAGGGGUGUCUGAUGCAAUUAUUUGCAAAGUUGCGGAGGUGUUUUGGCUCACAGCAACCUUAAUUUUCUUAGUAGAAAAUUUUAAUUUUUAAAGAAGACUGUCACAGGAGUACACGCUGUAUAAUUCUAGUGUAUGAACCAAGGACAAUGUUUUGGGUAGAAAAUGGGGAUUUAUGUUAUGGGUACAUAUAAAACCGCGACCAUGGGCAUGUGUCUGUGAAAUAAACAAGGUGUGCAAGGGCACGUGAUGGGUGGUCCCAGAGGCUUUUCCGUGAUUAUUCACCCACCCGGGACUCGUUCCUUUCCUUUGCCAUCUGUGGGUUCUCACAAGAGAUAGACAGAGCUGCUUGUGCCAAAGGUUUAACAAAAAUUGGUGGCAAAAACUUCACAUUGAGAAAAUUGUAUCUUCGAGCAGUUUAAACAAGGCUUUAUUCUUCUGUUUUCAUGAAGGAACGUUUCUUUCCAACUGAUGGAACUUCUGAGGGCCCCUGCAGGGUGGGGAGGGCCAGGCUGGGUGCUGGGGUGCCCAGGGAGUUGUGUAGGGACCGUGCCUUGCAGAUCUGAGCAACUUGGGUCUGGUUCUUUGAGCACGAGGGAGCCUCAGUGAGUUCUAGAGGAGGGAGGUGACCAGCGGAAAGGGGAAAUUUGGGAAAGACAAAUCUGAUGACUGGGGACUGGGCUGAAGCACAUCAGAAUGAAAGAGCAGAGAACUGGACUGAAGAGAUGGGGGACUGGAAGAAAAAAGUUCUUCAGACAUCUCCUCAUCCUGGCCCAGAACUCCUCAGAGGGCAGAGAGCAAGACCGGGUCACGGGAAGAGCAGGGAGGGCCGUCUGUGGGGUCUGUGGGCUCCGGGCAAACGACCGGAUCCACGCAGCACGUCCUGCUGCUCGGAUAGGGGAGGGAGGAGACUGAUGGCCCCACAGUCCGGGGAGGGGGUGGGAGCAGGCGGGGCUCAUAUUUGCUCCUUUCCUGACCCUCCCUCCCCACUUCCAAGUCAUCUUGGGAUUUCUUCCAAAAGUCCCUUAUCACCGCUGAUCACAGUGGCGAUCUGUCCGGGCCGUUGCCAGCCGGAGCCUACAUCUACUAAGUCCAGUGCCCACAAGUAGCAGAAUCCUGGCUGUUAAGUUACAUUUGUUAUUUUAAAGGACUGUGCCUUACUCGUCAGGGAGUGGGGUCGGAAGGAAGUAAAGAUUGUUCUUUCCGCAGGCAGACCUGCCUAUUAUGAUACUUUGAACAACAUCUGAAUUUAUAGCCUAAUCCCAAUCAGAGAGGUUUCAGAUACUUAAUAACCUCACUUUUGUUUUAUGCAGUUUUCCAAAAAAUUAUUUGGUUUUGUUGCUAUUGUUAUAAUCAGUCUUCUUAAUUCACACAAACAGGGAGUUUGGUCUUUGAAAAGUCUCCUUAAAAAUUUUCAAAUUACAAAAUCAUUAUGUACCCACUGCGUACAAUUAAGAAAAUACAAAAAAAGAUUAAAAAUAAACUAGCAAGCAUCCAUCAUCCUAGAAAUGAAUACCGUUAACAUUUAAACAUAUUUCCUCCUUGUCUUUUUUCUUCCCUGUUUUACAUAAUGGAGUGUUUUUUUUUUUUUUUUUAAUAUAUAAUUUUGCAUUUUUGCCUUGCCUUAUUUCAUAGGCAUGCCUCCAGGGGAUUAAAUACUCUUUAUAACUCCAUUUUUAAGAUUUGCCUAAUAUGUCUUUUAUUGGCUAUAAUAUCAUUUUCUUGUUUCCCUGGUGUUCAGUAUUAUGCUGUUCCCAAUUCGCUACUGAGGACAUGCUUUGAGCACGCGUUUGUGUACAAGUUCGCGUAGGUCUGAUUGUAGGUCUGGCCAGACUCUACUGCCUGUUUCAGAGGAGGGUGAGAUGGUCCCUCUGUCACUGUGAAUGACAUGGGUCAGUCAAAGGGAGGAGUGCACUGUCAAUCUGGGUUUUGGUAAGAGGAGGUAACAGCGGGUACAGGAAUGUUGUAAACACAGUAGAGAGGUCUUGCAAAUCCACUUUGUCAUGGAGGAACCUAAGAGGAAACAGAGGUUUUCAAAAAACCUUUUGAAUGGAUUGGGUUAGCAUUGUGUGGUUUUAAAUCUAAAUCACUCAUAAGAAAAAAAUUGGGGCUCUAAUGAGGUAGAGAAUAGCAGUUACUCUGAAUAACAAACUAGCAGGAAUGUUAAUGUUAUUCCUGAAGUUCCAGGCUAGCUGGCUUCCGGGUGAAGCUGUUCCCCACAUUAAUAGAGGAGAUUUGAGGUCUCAAAACAGAAUUCUGACCCUGGCUAGGCCACGGUGGGCAAGCUACUGGGCUUCUCCAAGCCUCAGAUGCACCACUUACAAAAUAGAUGAUGACACUAAUAUUUGUCACCUGCAGUUUGUUGAGAGAAUUGAAACACACACUAAAGGUCAGUACGAGGCGCUAAGGCUGGGACCUAAAGGAUGGCUGAGUUUUUUUGUUUUUGUUUAGUGGUGCUGGGGAUCCAACCCAGGGCCUCAAGCAUGCUAGGCAAGUGCACUGCCACUGAGUUCCACCCCCCAGCUCGUAGACCUGAAUUCGAAAUAGGUGUACCUGGGCCCAGGACAGCUCCACAGACUUGAGGACUCAGCAUUCUCACAGGACAUGGAAAUGAAGGGGGAAUCUUGGGUUAUAUUUUAAAAUCCACUGCAGGGAUCUUAAACCAGUUUUCUUUAGGCGUUUGUGCAUAUCGGCUUUCCAUGAGGGAGAGCUCAGCGCUCUGUUUUUGUUGUUUUGCCUCAGUGCUGGGCUAAGGGGCCGAUGAGAUACUAUGUUUCUUGCCGAAGCUUGAACCCUACAAUCAAAUGCCAGGCUGGAUUCCCAAACAAGUGUAUCUGAUGACAGCCUAUUAUGGAAGGCUCAGAACUUCUAAGAAUUCUUUAGUAGGAAACAAACAAAACACAAAGACCGCUUCCCAAUUCCCUGUGACUUGGAAUUUAUUUUUAUCUCUUACUUCAACCAUUGCGCGUGUUUGUUAAAGGUACACAGGAUCCAUGGUUUAUGAUACUUGCGUGGACAGAUGGCUAGUGUUGAGGGGCCAGGGACAGGACACUGCUCAACACCCACAUCUCAGGGAGCCGAGCAUCUCCCUUGUUGGUGAAAUGUGGGCAUGGAGUAAAGGUUUCUGGCGUGAAUGUCUGUGUUUUCAGAUCACAGGUUUGGCACUUUUGUGUGUAUGUGUGUGUAGUGCUAGGGAUUGAACUCAGGGUCCCUGUGUACUGAGCUACAUCCCUAGCUCUUUUUAUUUUUAUUUUGAGACAGAAUCUCUUUAAGUGGCCCAGGCCUGCCCCAAAUUUGUGAUCCUCCUGCCUCAGCCUCUGGAGUAGCUGGGAUUGCAGAUGUGUGCUACCAUUCCUGAGCUAGGCCUUGGCACUGCUGAGUAGGUAGGAUGAUGGGGAAGAGAAGCCUGGGGUGCUGGGAUUCUGACAGGCCACAGCAGGAGUUACUUACAACACUUUCAAGGGAACACUUUGUUCAGUGUUCAUUUUCCCUUCAGUCUGGGAAGGAAAGAGCUACAUUUUCUCUGCCCCACUGAAAACAUUCUAUUUUCUCAGUUCUUUGAAGUGGCCUCAGAUCUAAGUCUCAGGCUGAAGGCAGCUCUGUGUAUCUUUGCAACAGAUUAGAACAUAUUAACAUUUUAUUUGCUCACAGAACAAAUAUUUUCCUUGGAAUGAGACCCAGGUGGUGGAGCAGGACCAGGCAGGAGCAGCCGUCCAGGAUGGUGCCCAGCUCCGGGCCACACAGAGUUGGCCACUUCAUUUAGCCCUAUAGACACAUAUGGGCCUAUGGAUUGAGUUGUUUAUAUACUCAGAAAUAUUUAUCCAGCCUCAACUGUGCAUAAAGCCGAAGGCAGGUUAUAGAAAUGAAAAAAGAAAUGGAAUCUGUUCUGAAGGGGCUCAUAGUUAGGGGAGUCACAGGUGUUUGGUACUAAUGACUCUAAUCAAAAUGACAAAGAUAAGUCUAGAGAAAUUAGGAGAAAAAGGGUUCUGAGGUGAAUAAUUAAUUAUUCUGUUGGAGUGUAGAGGUGGGGUGGCAAGCCUCUUGUGUGUAGUGUGAUAUAGGUGUCCAUAUCUCUAGGUGUAGGGGCAUUUAUAUGUGAGGUAUGUGCGUGUCUAUGGGAAGCGUGUUCCAUGUGAGUGGUGGUACACACAUACGUGUAUAUAGUGGGUGGUAGCGGUGGUGGAUAUGUGUGUGUGUGGUUGUCCUGGUGAUAUGUGGUGUAUAGGUAUAUAUUAGUCAUGGUGCUGGUAGAAAUGAGAUAGGAAAAUCUUCCUGCUGCUGCUGAUUGGAGAGGUAUUGGGGUCAGUGUAGCAGGAGGACCCAGCAGACAAAGGAGCCAGAGCAGCAAAGGCAGGGAGAGGGGAAAAUUCUAGAGGUUAUAUUUUAGGGGAAGUAAGCUGGGAAGGGUUUUUAAUUUGUCUGCUAUUUUCUGAUCAAGUCAAUAGCAGGGCCGGGGAUGUAGCUCAGUGGCACCACACCUGCCUGGCAAGUGCAAGGUCUUGAGUUCAAUUCCUGGUACCAGAGGGGGAAAAAACCAGAAACUAGACAAUGGCAGAAUUGUACCUCUUCAUUGUCCUGUUUCUUUUUUGUGUGUGUGUGACUGCGUGUUUUUUUUGGAACCAGGGAUCGAACUCUGGUCCUUCUGCUUGCAGGCCAGGCAGUGGGACCACUGAGCUAAAUCUCCAGCCCCUACAUGUUGGUUCUUAACAACCUAGUACAAAAAAAUUUAAGUAUCUCAUUGAUAGAGUUUAUGUUGACUAUAUAUUGAAAUAAUAGUAUUUAGGAUAUGUGGAGGUAAGAAUAAUUUAUUAAAAUCAAUUUUGUCUCUUCCCUUUUAGUCUUUAUAUGGGGCUACUAGAAAAUUUAAACAUAUACUUGCGACUCUCAUUAUAUUUAUAUUGGAUAGCACUUCUGCAGAAGAAUAAAAACAUGGGGUAUUUCCUACCUUGGUGCAAUGAUCAGUGAAUGUUGUCCUGUGAACUCCCCCAACCUCAGGAAGGCACAUGAGUGAUGUUUAAGGGCGUAGGAGUCGCCUGUCCCUCUCCACGCCAGGUAAGUGCAGACUGUUGGGAGGGUUGUUCACUGUGGGACUCGGAGUCCCGCUCUGAACUCUGGGAUACUGUGGGAAAGGUAUUUGGUGACCUGAGUGCAGAGUUUCUUGUUUAACCCUCUUGAGGAUUCCUUCCUCUUUGUUACAAUUUCUCCCUCAGGGAAAAAAGUCAGAUCUGGCAAUCAGAUGCAAUAAAUGUUGCUUGUGACCCUGGCUCCCUAGCCAUCUUUCCUUUUCCUUAUUUUAGCAAAGGAAAGGCAUAUAAAAUAUUUAGUGAAUUCUGAUUUUCAGUAUCUUCAUUGACCCAAAAGAGACAAGAGACCAUUGGAUUAAUGAUAAGAUGAUUAGACUCAUAGUACUGGGAAGGAUCUGGCGAAUUGGCCGGUUCCCCUCACGUGCCCACUCCUUAGACAGUGAGGCUUAGCUCAGUGGUUCCACUGCUUGCCUUGCAAACACAAGGUCCCGAUGUACCAAAAAAAGGAAAGAAAGAAAGAAAGAAAGAAAGAAAGAAAGAAAGAAAGAAAGAAAGAAAGAAAAGAAAGAAAGGAAGGGAGGCUCCGAGAGGUUCAGAGGGUGGCCUAGGGUAGCAGAGCCAACCAAGGUGGGCAGGCCCGGAACCCCACCUCCACUUCACCAUCUCUACACCACACUCCCCGUUCUUUUCAGAACGCUGCCUCCCUUGGCCCCUCCUGUUUGGUGUCUCAUCCUCUUCUGCUGCCUGAUUCCCUUUCAUAACAGGUGAUCUCUUCCACACUGCACUGUGAUGCCAUCUGUCAUGAGACUCUCACUAGAGUGUAGCAGAAGCCUGUGACAUGCUUUUAAACCUCCAGAACUGUAAGGAAAGUGGCAACAGAGAAUUUUAGUCCCUCCUGAGCCUGGUGUAGCCAAGGUACGUUCCUGGCAUAUGUGACUGUGAAGAGGUCACCGAAGAGUCUGGACACCAUGCACAACCCCAGUGCUCUGUGGCUGAUCAGACAAUCUGGACUUCUCAAGCAAUGACAGGUAAAGGAACCACCAGGGGGUCAGGGGCAAGCCAUCUGCUGUCAUUUUUAUUUGCAGUAAACCAGAGUCAGGACACACACAUACUGAGCAAGUCCAUGGCACUGUAUGCAGGCAGAGAGGCAGGCUUGAGCAGGCAACUGCCUUUAUAGAACAACAUAUCUGCAGCUGGG